rnacentral:rRNA from 1 species
AGUGAACGCUGGCGGUAGGCCUAACACAUGCAAGUCGAACGGCAGCACAGUAAGAGCUUGCUCUUACGGGUGGCGAGUGGCGGACGGGUGAGGAAUACAUCGGAAUCUACUUUUUCGUGGGGGAUAACGUAGGGAAACUUACGCUAAUACCGCAUACGACCUACGGGUGAAAGCAGGGGAUCUUCGGACCUUGCGCGAUUGAAUGAGCCGAAGUCGGAUUAGCUAGUUGGCGGGGUAAAGGCCCACCAAGGCGACGAUCCGUAGCUGGUCUGAGAGGAUGAUCAGCCACACUGGAACUGAGACACGGUCCAGACUCCUACGGGAGGCAGCAGUGGGGAAUAUUGGACAAUGGGCGCAAGCCUGAUCCAGCCACACCGCGUGGGUGAAGAAGGCCUUCGGGUUGUAAAGCCCUUUUGUUGGGAAAGAAAAGCAGCAGGUUAAUACCCCGCUGUUCUGACGGUACCCAAAGAAUAAGCACCGGCUAACUUCGUG